GUGCAGCAGGCGAGAAUCUUCCCCAAUGGACGAAAGUCUGAGGGAGCGACGCCGCGUGAAUGAAGAAGCCCUUCGGGGUGUAAAAUUCUUUCUUUAGGAAAAAUUCGUGAUGGUACUAAAGGAAUAAGGGGCCGCCAAACUCGUGCCAGCAGCGGCGGUAAUACGAGUGCCCCGAGCGUUAUCCGGAAUUACUGGGCGUAAAGCGCUAAAAAGGCGGUUUGAUAAGUCAGACGUCAAAUCUCCGAGCUCAACUCGGAGCCGGUGUCUGAAACUGUCUAACUUGAGGACGGAAGAGGCAAGCGGAAUGGCUGGUGUAGCAGUAAAAUGCGUUAAUAUCAGCUAGAACACAAUGGCGAAGGCAACUUGCU
rnacentral:rRNA from 1 species